rnacentral:rRNA from 1 species
GAGUGAAACUCAAAGGAAUGGACGGGGACCCGCACAAGUAGCGGAGCAUGUGGUUUAAUUCGAAGCAACGCGAAGAACCUUACCUAAGCUUGACAUCCCAAUGACAUCUCCUUAAUCGGGGAGUUCCUUUCGGGGACAUUGGUGACAGGUGGUGCAUGGUUGUCGUCAGCUCGUGUCGUGAGAUGUUGGGUUAAGUCCCGCAACGAGCGCAACCCUUGUCUUUAGUUGCCAUCAUUAAGUUGGGCACUCUAGAGA